rnacentral:lncRNA from 1 species
ACAUGAAAUGGACACCACCGGCAAUGGUCUUUGUUGCUCUAUACAAAAAACAAGUCAAGCAUCUCUACAUGUACAAACAAAAGGACAACUACGACGGAUGUAAACGUGUUAUAAAUAACUUUAUUACACCAGUGAAUCGUGCCAAAACGAAACUACACCUCCUUUCCGUCCUAUAAAACCCCCAAAAAAUCCCAACCAGCUAAACAUGAAAAAGAUUACAUGCAUGCAAUAAAAAUAAAAUUGAAGCACUUAUUCGAAAUAUAAAUGAGACUUUCG